ACCCCAAAUUAUCUUCCGUACCUUCUCGCGCUUUCUCUUCUACCACUCUAUCUCGGAUCUCCAGUGGUUCCUAUAUUUCUUUGAUUCGAUCUUUCUAACUGGCGUGUCUACUUUUCAUUAUUUUGUUUUGAUAUUCUUUGGUUUCAGAAUCUGUUGAUUCUGAUUUUGAUUGUUUUGAUUUCUUUUUUAAAGGGUUUAAUGGGUUGUUUCAUAAUGGAAUCAGUUAAUUGGGCUAUGUAUAAAUCUUUCUUGCAAACCCUACUUCCUAUGCUUUCUUUUCUUUUUUUCUCUUCUUCUGUUUCUUCUUAAUUGGUGAUGUAAUUGAAGUCUGUUAUUGAUUUGAUUUUUCGUAAUCAUAAUUUUUCUUGCAGCGGUUCCAUGAAGAGGCUAUCUAGAGGAAGUGUUAGAACUGUCAGUGUUGAUUUAUUUAAUUCAAUGGCUGCUAUUUCCUCUGCCGCGGAAUUGAAAAGCUACCGAUUAACAGGAACGAUAUUUUUGUUAAUAUGUAAAUUCUGUGAAAUUGUAUUAUUAAUUUCUGUUGCAGGAGAAGGAAAUCAUCUUGAGUUUUCAUUUAUGGAGACUAUUUCUCAUUUUCUUCACCUUAUUUUCUCAUAAGUAUGAUGAUCUCUCUGUGCCACAAUAAUUGAUCAUCUGAAAUAGUCUCAAGGUAGAAAGAUGCAUUGGAAGUGUUUGUCGAUUGGUUUCGGAUUUCAAAUUUUAUUUCGUGAUAAUGGACAUAUAAGUGGCCCUGUAAAUGGAUCUCUUCCCUUAAUUAGAUCUUCCUGUAAGUAAUCUAUUCAAUCAGUAUUUGAUUAAGAAGGGUGCUUAUUUUUGUUCACGUGAUAAAGUUUGCUUAUAAUCAUAUUUCUGUUGAUAAUCGUCCACUGCCUUUUAUUAUCGAUUUAAUUGUUUUAUCUACUAUGUACUCUGAGCUUAUAUUUUUACUUGCUCAUCUGGAUGAUACGAUGAAGAAUCUUUUGCUGAAUGUAGAGUUUUCAUAGGUACACAGUAGAAACUUUGAGGUGUUUUUUUUUUUUUUCAUCCUCAUCACCCUUUAUAUAUAGGUAACGAAAUUUUAAAUCUGUUUUUUGCUAUAUUUCUUACAUGGUACACUAUGGAUCAGCUCAUGGCACCAGGCUUACGAUUUGUUUCUUAUAUAUUGUUUUAGAUUUAUGUUUUAUGAGGGUACUAAAAUGUGUGAUUGCGUUUUAAGGUCACGAGCAGUAACUGAUUUCGUGAUGAACACAAGGUAUUUUCAACUAUAAGCUUCUCCAAUGUUUGGCGUGUAUGAGUGGUUUGGGUCAGGUAUUUAAAGAAUCGAAACCCACAAUUACUAUUUUGCCAUUUAUCAGUUAUUGAGGCACAUUGUGUUCGGGACCAGGAUGUGGGGUGAUUACAAAGUGUGGGUAUCAUGGGGAUUAGCUUGGAGGAUGAGAAUCAAGAUACUAUGUGAUUUUGGAAAAUCCAAUGUGGGAUGUGACUGCCGAUGUAUUAGAGUUUCCUGUAUAACAUCGCUUUUUGGUUGCUCAUAUAAGUUCCCUGAGUCUCCCAGUGAAACGUUUGCCAAUUCAGAUAGAGAUAUAUGCUGCAGCAAAAUCAAAAAUACUUGGGAGUUACUUGCAGCAAAGCGAAAAGCAGUAGAAUAAGGGGUGGUAGUAAUUGUCUGCAACAUCAAAUUAAGUACCCCACCAUUGUCUGAACGGAACUUAUGUAUUGUCAUGAAAUGUCAUCAGUUUAGUUGUAUAAUCUCUGUUUUUGUUGGUAUGGAUUGUGCAAAUCAAUGUUAAGAAAGAACCGUUAAUUGAUUGUUUGGUAUAGGAUUGCUUUAAUCAAAUCUCGUAAAAAGGUAUUGAUUUAUUUUUUCUCCUUU